AGAGUUUGAUCCUGGCUCAGGAUGAACGCUGGCGGCGUGCCUAAUACAUGCAAGUCGAGCGAACCGAUUAGAAGCUUGCUUCUAUGACGUUAGCGGCGGACGGGUGAGUAACACGUGGGCAACCUGCCUGUAAGACUGGGAUAACUUCGGGAAACCGAAGCUAAUACCGGAUAGGAUUUUCUCCUUCAUGGGAGAUGAUUGAAAGAUGGUUUCGGCUAUCACUUACAGAUGGGCCCGCGGUGCAUUAGCUAGUUGGUGAGGUAACGGCUCACCAAGGCAACGAUGCAUAGCCGACCUGAGAGGGUGAUCGGCCACACUGGGACUGAGACACGGCCCAGACUCCUACGGGAGGCAGCAGUAGGGAAUCUUCCGCAAUGGACGAAAGUCUGACGGAGCAACGCCGCGUGAGUGAUGAAGGCUUUCGGGUCGUAAAACUCUGUUGUUAGGGAAGAACAAGUACGAGAGUAACUGCUCGUACCUUGACGGUACCUAACCAGAAAGCCACGGCUAACUACGUGCCAGCAGCCGCGGUAAUACGUAGGUGGCAAGCGUUAUCCGGAAUUAUUGGGCGUAAAGCGCGCGCAGGCGGUUUCUUAAGUCUGAUGUGAAAGCCCACGGCUCAACCGUGGAGGG
rnacentral:rRNA from 1 species